rnacentral:rRNA from 1 species
UACGUAGGGUGCGAGCGUUGUCCGGAAUUAUUGGGCGUAAAGAGCUUGUAGGCGGUUUGUCGCGUCUGCUGUGAAAUUCCAGGGCUUAACCCUGGGCUUGCAGUGGGUACGGGCAGACUAGAGUGUGGUAGGGGAGACUGGAAUUCCUGGUGUAGCGGUGAAAUGCGCAGAUAUCAGGAGGAACACCGGUGGCGAAGGCGGGUCUCUGGGCCGUAACUGACGCUGAGGAGCGAAAGCGUGGGGAGCAAACAGG